rnacentral:rRNA from 1 species
CACGUAGGGUGCAAGCGUUGUCCGGAUUCAUUGGGCGUAAAGGGCUAGUAGGCGGCUUAGCAAGUCGGGUGUGAAAACUUCAGGCUCAACCUGGAGCGGCCAUCCGAUACUGCUAUGGCUAGAGUCCGGUAGGGGACCACGGAAUUCCUGGUGUAGCGGUGAAAUGCGCAGAUAUCAGGAGGAACACCGGUGGCGAAGGCGGUGGUCUGGGCAACUACUGACGCUGAGGAGCGAAAGCGUGGGGAGCGAACAGG